rnacentral:rRNA from 1 species
UACGAAGGGGGCUAGCGUUGCUCGGAAUUACUGGGCGUAAAGCGCACGUAGGCGGACUCUUAAGUCAGGGGUGAAAUCCUGGAGCUCAACUCCAGAACUGCCUUUGAUACUGAAGAUCUUGAGUUCGGGAGAGGUGAGUGGAACUGCGAGUGUAGAGGUGAAAUUCGUAGAUAUUCGCAAGAACACCAGUGGCGAAGGCGGCUCACUGGCCCGAUACUGACGCUGAGGCACGAAAGCGUGGGGAGCAAACAGG